rnacentral:ncRNA from 1 species
AACGCCGGGUUAAGGCGCCCAAUGCCGAUGCUCAUCAGACCCCAGAAAAGGUGUUGGUUGAUAUAGACAGCAGGACGGUGGCCAUGGAAGUUGGAAUCCGCUAAGGAGUGUGUAACAACUCACCUGCCGAAUCAACUAGCCCUGAAAAUGGAUGGCGCUGGAGCGUCAGGCCCAUACCCGGCCGUCACCGGCAAUAUGAGCCGCGGGGGCUACGCCGCGACG